rfam:Fukomys damarensis contig114023, whole genome shotgun sequence.
AUUGCCUCUUGGUCCUGUGACCACGAUUAAAUACAUAAUUUUGUUCUUAGUCCAUUUGAUACUUCCUUUUUAAAGCACAAUACAUUUAAUGGAUUUUUGGACUAGGGAGAUCAAAUGGAGGCUUGCUUUGUACACUCCACACAUUGACCUGGUAUUGUAAUAGCUCUAGAUCAGUACACCCCAC